rnacentral:lncRNA from 1 species
GUCAUUGUCAUUGGUGGUGGUGAUGGUGAGGUCAGGGCUGUGAUGUCGUUGUUGGUGGUGGUGAUGGUGAGGUCAGGGCUGUAGUGUUGUCAUUGGUGGUGGUGAUGGUGAGGUCGGGGCUGUGAUGUCGUUGUCGGUGGUGGUGGUGAUGGUGAGGUCACUGUAGGAAAGCCCAGCAGAAUGGCCCUGAAGCGUGGGCUCCGUCCCCGAUAUGCCUUCCCAUGAUCUCUUUUC